rnacentral:rRNA from 1 species
CGGGUGAGUAACACGUAGGUAAUCUACCUUCGGGUGGGGAAUAACGCAGGGAAACUUGCGCUAAUACCGCAUAAUGCAGCGGCACCACAUGGUGACAGUUGUUAAAGCGGGGGAUUUUCGAACCUCGCGCCUGAAGAGGAGCCUGCGGCAGAUUAGCUAGUUGGUAAGGUAACGGCUUACCAAGGCGACGAUCUGUAGCCGGCCUGAGAGGGCGGUCGGCCACACUGACACUGACAUACGGGUCAGACUCCUACGGGAGGCAGCAGUCGGGAAUUUUGGGCAAUGGGCGAAAGCCUGACCCAGCAACGCCGCGUGAAGGAUGAAAUCCCUCGGGAUGUAAACUUCGCAAGAAUAGGAAGAAUGAACGAGUACUAAUACUGCUCGUGAUGACGGUACUAUUUGUAAGCUCCGGCUAACUCCGUGCCAGCAGCCGCGGUAAUACGGGGGGAGCAAGCGUUGUUCGGAUUUACUGGGCGUAAAGGGCGCGUAGGCGGCCAGCACAAGUCAGUUGUGAAAUCUCCGGGCUUAACUCGGAACGGUCAACUGAUACUGUGCGGCUAGAGUGCAGAAGGGGCAACUGGAAUUCUCGGUGUAGCGGUGAAAUGCGUAGAUAUCGAGAGGAAC